UACGAAGGGGGCUAGCGUUGUUCGGAAUCACUGGGCGUAAAGCGCACGUAGGCGGAUUGUUAAGUCAGGGGUGAAAUCCUGGAGCUCAACUCCAGAACUGCCUUUGAUACUGGCGAUCUUGAGGCCGGGAGAGGUGAGUGGAACUGCGAGUGUAGAGGUGAAAUUCGUAGAUAUUCGCAAGAACACCAGUGGCGAAGGCGGCUCACUGGCCCGAUACUGACGCUGAGGUGCGAAAGCGUGGGGAGCAAACAGG
rnacentral:rRNA from 1 species